CGGGGUGUAGCGCAGAUGGUAGCGUGCUAGACUGGGGGUCUAGAGGUCGCAAGUUCAAGUCUUGUCACUCCGA
rnacentral:tRNA from 2 species